GACAGAGGGUGCAAACGUUGUUCGGAAUUACUGGGCGUAAAGGGCGCGCAGGCGGCCCUUUAAGUCAGGCGUGAAAGCCCCGGGCUCAACCUGGGAGGUGCGCUUGAUACUCGAGGGCUUGAGUGCGGGAGAGGAGAGUGGAAUUCCCAGUGUAGAGGUGAAAUUCGUAGAUAUUGGGAAGAACACCGGUGGCGAAGGCGGCUCUCUGGACCGUAACUGACGCUGAGGCGCGAAAGCGUGGGGAGCAAACAGG
rnacentral:rRNA from 1 species